CAAAGAUCUGUCACUCUGAACGUGCCCGAUCUCGUCUGAUCUCAGAUGCUAAGCAGGGUUGGGCCUGAUUAGUACUGGGAUGGGAGUCCACUGUCUCUUAAACCACGUAGUUCCUAGG
rnacentral:rRNA from 1 species